rnacentral:other from 1 species
GCGGGGCUGUGGGGCGCGUCCGGAGACUUUUCCUCGGGGCCUUACGAUCCUCAAGGGAGCUGUCCCUGACCCGGUCUGCGGACCGGGACACACGGCGCCCACCUACGCUGUAGGUUUCCCGGGAUCGUAUCUCCAACGGCCAUCGCGGCUCCGCG